GACAUGACGUGUGGCUGUCGUAAAAACCCUAUUUGUAAACAACCAGUCCUUUAACUCGGGGCUGCGUCAUAAACACGGAGCGCUUGGAAGACCACGAUGUCAUCUUCCUUCUGUCAGGAGGAUCAAAGUGAAGCUACAGGAGUUUCAUUAACGUCAACAACUUGGACCGAACACUUUGUUUUGCUUGAUGAAGAGCAGGAAGGGCAGCCUGGAGAGAAAGAGAGGCCGGGUUGAGCCCACUACCAUCAUCCACGUACCACGAGGAAGAUGAGGGAGAGAAAUUAUCCUACCAUUAAAGAGACUGUGAAAAGAACGUUGAGAACAUCACCACUCUACAGGAAGACACAGUCCAGUAAUGGGUGUCAGAAGUUCAGUAGUGAACGACAGGUACUGUGGAAAAAUGUGUGUCAUUGUUGUACAAUGUCCUUUGACUCUGUUUAAACAAGGUCAACACAAAAAGGUUUGAUUGUAAACUGAUAUCGGUACGAAUUCAUGUUAUUCUCCUCCUCAAAAGAAACAAACAAUCAAAAUUACCUGCAGAAAGCCCUUGAUGGACGCUUCAGCUGCAUCGUCAGACUGGUGAGACAGCAAGAUGCCAACUUUAAUGCCAAUUUAUUUGUGUAACAUUCUGUGACCAAAUGUAUAGAUAACUUUUUGUAGAUUGUAAAAAUAGAUAACCCAUUUAUUACAAAAAAACUACACUAGAAUUACCGCACUGCGUUGUAUGACUCCGCUAAGCAGUGCAGUGUCCGUCUACAUAUUUUCUCUCAUAUAAAUGACACUGUAUCUCUUGACAACUGAAACCAUAAGAUGAGGUCAGUGUGGCCUUGACCUUUUUACUUAGACUUCACCACUUAGACAACCAGACCUGUGUGCUUUGCAGUGACUAUAAAUGACUGGAACCUCAGA